rnacentral:rRNA from 1 species
AGAAUCAACGCUGGCGGCGUGCCUAACACAUGCAAGUCGCACGAGAAAGGGGCUUCGGCCCUGAGUAAAGUGGCGCACGGGUGAGUAACACGUGAAUGAUCUACCUCCGAGUGGGGAAUAACCAAAAAGAAAUUUUGGCUAAUACCGCAUAACACUUACGAGUCAAAGCAGCAAUGCGCUUGGAGAGGAGUUCGCGGCAGAUUAGCUAGUUGGCGGGGUAAUGGCCCACCAAGGCGAUGAUCUGUAUCCGGCCUGAGAGGGCGCACGGACACACUGGAACUGAAACACGGUCCAGACUCCUACGGGAGGCAGCAGUGGGGAAUUUUGCGCAAUGGGGGAAACCCUGACGCAGCAACGCCGCGUGGAGGAUGAAGCCCUUGGGGUGUAAACUCCUUUCGAUCGGGAAGAUAAUGACGGUACCGAUAUAAGAGCCCGGCUAACUUCGCGCCAGCAGCCGC